AUGAACGCUAGCGACAGGCUUAACACAUGCAAGUCGAGGGGCAGCACAGGUAGCAAUACCGGGUGGCGACCGGCGCACGGGUGAGUAACGCGUAUGCAACUUGCCUAUCAGAGGGGGAUAACCCGGCGAAAGUCGGACUAAUACCGCAUGAAGCAGGGGCCCCGCAUGGGGAUAUUUGCUAAAGAUUCAUCGCUGAUAGAUAGGCAUGCGUUCCAUUAGGCAGUUGGCGGGGUAACGGCCCACCAAACCGACGAUGGAUAGGGGUUCUGAGAGGAAGGUCCCCCACAUUGGUACUGAGACACGGACCAAACUCCUACGGGAGGCAGCAGUGAGGAAUAUUGGUCAAUGGCCGAGAGGCUGAACCAGCCAAGUCGCGUGAGGGAUGAAGGUUCUAUGGAUCGUAAACCUCUUUUAUAAGGGAAUAAAGUGCGGGACGUGUCCCGUUUUGUAUGUACCUUAUGAAUAAGGAUCGGCUAACUCCGUGCCAGCAGCCGCGGUAAUACGGAGGAUCCGAGCGUUAUCCGGAUUUAUUGGGUUUAAAGGGUGCGUAGGCGGCCUUUUAAGUCAGCGGUGAAAGUCUGUGGCUCAACCAUAGAAUUGCCGUUGAAACUGGGGGGCUUGAGUAUGUUUGAGGCAGGCGGAAUGCGUGGUGUAGCGGUGAAAUGCAUAGAUAUCACGCAGAACCCCGAUUGCGAAGGCAGCCUGCCAAGCCAUGACUGACGCUGAUGCACGAAAGCGUGGGGAUCAAACAGGAUUAGAUACCCUGGUAGUCCACGCAGUAAACGAUGAUCACUAGCUGUUUGCGAUACACAGUAAGCGGCACAGCGAAAGCGUUAAGUGAUCCACCUGGGGAGUACGCCGGCAACGGUGAAACUCAAAGGAAUUGACGGGGGCCCGCACAAGCGGAGGAACAUGUGGUUUAAUUCGAUGAUACGCGAGGAACCUUACCCGGGUUUGAACGCAUUCGGACCGAGGUGGAAACACCUUUUCUAGCAAUAGCCGUUUGCGAGGUGCUGCAUGGUUGUCGUCAGCUCGUGCCGUGAGGUGUCGGCUUAAGUGCCAUAACGAGCGCAACCCUUGCCACUAGUUACUAACAGGUGAUGCUGAGGACUCUGGUGGGACUGCCAGCGUAAGCUGCGAGGAAGGCGGGGAUGACGUCAAAUCAGCACGGCCCUUACAUCCGGGGCGACACACGUGUUACAAUGGCGUGGACAAAGGGAGGCCACCUGGCGACAGGGAGCGAAUCCCCAAACCACGUCUCAGUUCGGAUCGGAGUCUGCAACCCGACUCCGUGAAGCUGGAUUCGCUAGUAAUCGCGCAUCAGCCAUGGCGCGGUGAAUACGUUCCCGGGCCUUGUACACACCGCCCGUCAAGCCAUGGGAGCCGGGGGUACCUGAAGUCCGUAACCGCGAGGAUCGGCCUAGGGUAAAACUGGUGACUGGGGCU
rnacentral:rRNA from 1 species